rnacentral:rRNA from 1 species
UUGGAGGGCAAGUCUGGUGCCAGCAGCCGCGGUAAUUCCAGCUCCAAUAGCGUAUAUUAAAGUUGUUGCAGUUAAAAAGCUCGUAGUUGAACUUCGGGGUCUACCCAUUGGUCAGGCUUAAUUGUCUGCACUGGUGAGAUGGAUCUCUACCUUCUGAGGAACUUUCAUGCCAUUUAUUUAGUGUGAUUGGAAAUCAGGACUGUUACUUUGAAAAAAUUAGAGUGUUUAAAGCAGACUAUCGUCUGAAUACAUUAGCAUGGAAUAAUGAAAUAGGACGGACUGAUUCUAUUUCGUUGGUUUCUAGGAUCACCGUAAUGAUUAAUAGGGAUAGUUGGGGGCAUUAGUAUUCAAUUGUCAGAGGUGAAAUUCUUGGAUUUAUUGAAGACUAACUACUGCGAAAGCAUUUGCCAAGGAUGUUUUCAUUAAUCAAGAACGAAAGUUAGGGGAUCGAAGACGAUCAGAUACCGUCGUAGUCUUAACCAUAAACUAUGCCGACUAGGGAUCGGACGAAGUUAAUUUUAUAAUGACGCGUUCAGCACCUUACGGGAAACCAAAGUGUUUGGGUUC